rnacentral:rRNA from 1 species
ACGUAGGUGGCGAGCGUUGUCCGGAAUUAUUGGGCGUAAAGCGCGCGCAGGCGGGAAAGUAAGUCUACUCUAAAAGUGCGGGGCUCAACCCCGUGAUGGGGUGGAAACUGCUUUUCUUGAGUGCCGGAGAGGAAAGUGGAAUUCCCAGUGUAGCGGUGAAAUGCGUAGAUAUUGGGAGGAACACCAGUGGCGAAGGCGACUUUCUGGACGGUGUCUGACGCUGAGGCGCGAAAGCCAGGGGAGCGAACGG